rnacentral:piRNA from 1 species
UCUAGAUUGACCCCCUUUGAUUUUAGUAGG